AACGAACGCUGGCGGCAGGCUUAACACAUGCAAGUCGAGCGCCCCGCAAGGGGAGCGGCAGACGGGUGAGUAACGCGUGGGAAUCUACCCAUCUCUACGGAAUAACGCAUGGAAACGUGUGCUAAUACCGUAUACGUCUUUCGGGAGAAAGAUUUAUCGGAGAUGGAUGAGCCCGCGUUGGAUUAGCUAGUUGGUGGGGUAAAGGCCUACCAAGGCGACGAUCCAUAGCUGGUCUGAGAGGAUGAUCAGCCACACUGGGACUGAGACACGGCCCAGGCACCUACGGGAGGCAGCAGUGGGGAAUAUUGGACAAUGGGCGCAAGCCUGAUCCAGCCAUGCCGCGUGAGUGAUGAAGGCCCUAGGGUUGUAAAGCUCUUUCACCGGUGAAGAUAAUGACGGUAACCGGAGAAGAAGCCCCGGCUGACUUCGUGCCAGCCGCCGCCGUAAGAC
rnacentral:rRNA from 1 species